AGUUACUGUUGUGUAACUUAAAACCUACUUUAAUCGUUCCAGAUGGGAGAGAUAGACAUCGUUUUCAAUAACCAGACAAUGGAUCAGGCCGUGAUAGGGGUCCAAUUUAUGAGUUGAGUUGUACGAUUUAGUAAAUUAUUUAGUGUAUGAAAUUAAAUGCUAUAAAAUUUAUACUGUCUUACACAAAACAAAUGAUUAAUUACAGAAGGUUUCAUACAAAUACAUUUAAUAAGAAUUAUAACUGGUCUUAGGUUGUUUCCCCUCCCCUCUAUUAAACAUGGUACAUUCCACAACUGGGUGAUAAAAUUUGAAAGCUAACGGAAUGGUCUUCAUCGACAUCUCUCUCGCUCGCUGCUCCCUUUGUUGUUGUUGUGUCCUCCUUUUGUUCAGUAAUAAUUGGAGUAAUAAUCGCAAACUGAUAUUUUAUUGAAAUGGUUAAUACCUGUAGCAAUGUCAUGUACUAUUCUGGAUUGAAUAAGGAUUUUGGACGUUCUUCUGCUAAAACUCAGCCUAGCCUAGGAUAGCCGCUAGGCCUAGGCCUGUUAUUAUAUUGCCAUUGGGAAAAAAGGAGAAGAGUCCGCACCAUGCCAAUGUCUAUGCACAGUCAGUAUUGUGAUUGACAUUGGCCAUGGUUUACUUAUAGAAAAGGAUCCAUGAUAGGGAAGAAAAGCAACGCACAUGUGGAACAUCGGUAGAGAAAGAGCAUUUGAAUCCCAUCUGAAUUACUGCCCUAACAGAUUUCACUGAUAAGAAGUAUCCUGAGGCAUCAACCACUCUUUUGCGGCAGUCUCUGUCAAACAGAAUAAAGAAAAUGAACAAGCCUAAAAAUUGGGAAUACCAUGUAUGCAUUUUUGUUUUUAAAUUUUGUUAUUUAACUUAAAUUCCAAACUUCGUUCUAGUGAUAUUAGAUUUGUGGUAGUAUUUUAUAAUAUUUGAUGUUUCAGUGUGUAGGCCGUCUUAAAGUUAGGCUCAGAAAAGUUUUUUUUUUUUU